CCGCAGGCCACACCACACGGCUGGCGGGAACAAAAACACGGGGGUGAGGGACUCCUGCAGGCAGCGUGUCCCACCCCAGCCAGAACAAUGGACAGCAGUGAUGAGCAAACCCCUGGAAGGGCUUGAGGAGAAGGAUGGAAAUGACAGAGGAAAGAGGAAGAAAAACUCUGUAAAACAGCAGAGGUGGCUGAGGGUCAUAUUUCCACACUUCCCAGCCAGCGGCCAGCACGGAACCAGAUGGAGCCUGCGGCACACUUGUCCUCAAGAAACCAGAACAAGGAGGAGAAGGUGCCCAGAAUCUACAUCACCUGGGAUGAAGAGUCGCAUUUUCCUCCCUCCUGUCCAUAUGUCAGCUAAGUCUUGGGUUCAGUCACAGGAUUAACCAUAUCCAGUGGUCCUGCAGUCACACUGUCACCUUGGAAUGGCAGCCUUGUGGAGAGGAGAUUGUUCUGCUCUCCUUAACACUGAUUCCUGACUGUAGGAAAUGCCAUCUGUUCCUGCUGAAUGGCUCACAUCUCUCAGGAGACCUUAACAUCAUUUGCCAGGUUACCCUGGGUGCUCUCUGGACUUGGGGGAAAGGCGUAAAGUGUUGUGAUGAAAAAGUCUAUCACAUUCAUUUCUCUGAAGCUGGGAAGCAGAGCGACAGUCAUGUCAGCUGAGAGAUCCUGGGUACAUGAUUUUGUAAAAUUGCCCCUCACUUUUUACUGCAUGUAUUUAUAAACAUGUGUGAUCCCAAUCAAGAAAAGGGAUUUUUAAUUUGAGGUGUAGGUCUGAACUGAGGGCAGAUGAAACUGGUGAAGUAGAGUAAACAAAGUAAACAAAGACAAUAGACUGCAGAGCAGCAAAGGAAAGCUGGAAAUAGAAAGUGCAGAAGACAACAAAAAUCAGCCCAACUAGACAGGUUGCUAAAUGUAAGAUGUUGACAGAAAUGUGUUCAGUUUUGUAUCACAGGGAAAUCAGAUUGAAUACAAGAACAGUAAAAUAUGAAAGAAAUUGUAUAGAAUAUGAUAGCAACCGAUAUAAAGAAGGGGGGCAAAAGUAAGGGGAAGGAAAAGAAAGACCUAAAGCAAUUGAGACAGAAAAAGCACAUCACUUUUUAUUGUUUUGCAGUGCAGAACAACUAAAAUUGGUUCCUUGUAAAACAGGCAAAUAGGCAGACAAAAGGGUAAAAUUGGACUGACGCUUUUCUUCCCUCCCAGGCACAGAUUCAUCCCGCUGGUAGUUAGAUGCCUGACUGUGCUCCCUAAAGCCUGGAAUAUUAUUGCCUUAAAAUCACUCUGUAAUCAAUGACUAGCAAGACAGUACCUCCAGGAGGGAAUUCAGACAAAUCCAUCUCUCGCUUUUGACUGGAAGGACUGCAAGGCGAUGAGAAGCCAGGUCUCAGUCCUGUCCCUACCUCUCAAGCAAUCUUCCUUACUACCCCACAAGCCUUAACCUCUCUGUCCCUCUUAUUUAUAUACAGAGCCCUAAUCUGCACACUCACAGCCAUUUCUCAUCCUCAGAGAAAAGGCUGCUGCUGAAUCCUUUGCCUGCACACAGUGGAGCUGUGCAUGCUGCCACUGCCUCUGUUGAACCUUUUUUGUGAAGAAAUAUAGCAUUUCAGUAGGUGGAUCUGCUCAUACAUGUCAGUCACAACCUGUAGUGGUCCGUCCCCCACACUACACUAUGAUCUCAGAAACGUUCCUUAGACCUCAGCCUUGAACAACAAUACCUGGGCCAAGCUCCUCUUAAGCUUAUCAGAAACAGUGUUUGUUCCCAGGAACUUGUGCUAUUCCAUGAACUCAUUUUUUAACAAACAGCCUUGGAAACUUAUUUUUCUUGCCUGAAUAACAAUGCAAGUAGAACAACAAUUUUGAACCUUCAAAGAAAGUUACUAGCCUGAGUUGUGACCAGGAUGGAAAAUUGCUACAACUAAAGGCAAUUCUCUUGCAAACCUAUAAACAGCGGUCCUAAAUGAGACCCUUGGAACUCAAACCAAGACAACUUUGUUGUGCUUUAACUUUCAUAUUAAACCUGCUUUUGCUGA